rnacentral:rRNA from 1 species
CCCGAAGUCGGUGGGGUAACCUUUUUGGAGCCAGCCGCCUAAGGUGGGACAGAUGAUUGGGGUGAAGUCGUAACAAGGUAGCCGUAUCGGAAGGUGCGGCUGGAUCACCUCCUUU